rnacentral:rRNA from 1 species
GAUGGACGCUAGCGGCAGGCCUAACACAUGCAAGUCGAGGGGUAGAAGGAGCUUGCUCCUUUGAGACCGGCGCACGGGUGCGUAACGCGUAUGCAAUCUACCUUGUACAGGGGAAUAGCCCAGAGAAAUUUGGAUUAAUGCCCCAUAGUAUAUAACCUUCGCAUGUUGGUUAUAUUAAAGUUCCAACGGUACAAGAUGAGCAUGCGUCCCAUUAGUUAGUUGGUAAGGUAACGGCUUACCAAGACGAUGAUGGGUAGGGGUCCUGAGAGGGAGAUCCCCCACACUGGUACUGAGACACGGACCAGACUCCUACGGGAGGCAGCAGUGAGGAAUAUUGGUCAAUGGUCGCAAGACUGAACCAGCCAUGCCGCGUGCAGGAAGACGGUCCUAUGGAUUGUAAACUGCUUUUAGACAGGAAGAAACCCUCCCACGUGUGGGAGCUUGACGGUACUGUAGGAAUAAGGAUCGGCUAACUCCGUG